rnacentral:rRNA from 1 species
AGAUUAAGUUAUUAAGGGCGCACGGUGGAUGCCUUGGCACUAGAAGCCGAAGAAGGACGUUACUAACGACGAUAUGCUUUGGGGAGCUGUAAGUAAGCGUUGAUCCAGAGAUUUCCGAAUGGGGAAACCCAACAUGAGUUAUGUCAUGUUAUCGAUAUGUGAAUACAUAGCAUAUCAGAAGGCAGACCCGGAGAACUGAAACAUCUUAGUACCCGGAGGAAGAGAAAGAAAAAUCGAUUCCCUGAGUAGCGGCGAGCGAAACGGGAAGAGCCCAAACCAACAAGCUUGCUUGUUGGGGUUGUAGGACACUCUAUACGGAGUUACAAAAGUAUAUAUUAGACGAAUCAUCUGGAAAGUUGAAUCAAAGAAGGUAAUAAUCCUGUAGUCGAAAAUAUAUACUCUCUUGAGUGGAUCCUGAGUACGACGGAGCACGUGAAAUUCCGUCGGAAUCUGGGAGGACCAUCUCCUAAGGCUAAAUACUCUCUAGUGACCGAUAGUGAACCAGUACCGUGAGGGAAAGGUGAAAAGUACCCCGGAAGGGGAGUGAAAGAGAACUUGAAACCGUGUGCUUACAAGUAGUCAGAGCCCGUUAAUGGGUGAUGGCGUGCCUUUUGUAGAAUGAACCGGCGAGUUACGAUUUGAUGCAAGGUUAAGCAGUGAAUGUGGAGCCGUAGCGAAAGCGAGUCUGAAUAGGGCGUUGAGUAUUUGGUCGUAGACCCGAAACCAGGUGAUCUACCCUUGGUCAGGUUGAAGUUCAGGUAACACUGAAUGGAGGACCGAACCGACUUACGUUGAAAAGUGAGCGGAUGAACUGAGGGUAGCGGAGAAAUUCCAAUCGAACCUGGAGAUAGCUGGUUCUCUCCGAAAUAGCUUUAGGGCUAGCCUCAAGUGAUGAUUAUUGGAGGUAGAGCACUGUUUGGACGAGGGGCCCUUCUCGGGUUACCGAAUUCAGACAAACUCCGAAUGCCAAUCAAUUUAACUUGGGAGUCAGAACAUGGGUGAUAAGGUCCGUGUUCGAAAGGGAAACAGCCCAGACCACCAGCUAAGGUCCCAAAAUAUAUGUUAAGUGGAAAAGGAUGUGGCGUUGCCCAGACAACUAGGAUGUUGGCUUAGAAGCAGCCAUCAUUUAAAGAGUGCGUAAUAGCUCACUAGUCGAGUGACACUGCGCCGAAAAUGUACCGGGGCUAAACAUAUUACCGAAGCUGUGGAUUGUCCGUAGGACAAUGGUAGGAGAGCGUUCUAAGGGCGUUGAAGCAUGAUCGCAAGGACAUGUGGAGCGCUUAGAAGUGAGAAUGCCGGUGUGAGUAGCGAAAGACGGGUGAGAAUCCCGUCCACCGAUUGACUAAGGUUUCCAGAGGAAGGCUCGUCCGCUCUGGGUUAGUCGGGUCCUAAGCUGAGGCCGACAGGCGUAGGCGAUGGAUAACAGGUUGAUAUUCCUGUACCACCUAGUAUCGUUUUAAUCGAUGGGGGGACGCAGUAGGAUAGGCGAAGCGUGCUAUUGGAUUGCACGUCCAAGCAGUAAGACUGAGUGUUAGGCAAAUCCGGCACUCAUAAGGUCAAGCUGUGAUGGGGAGAGGAAAUUGUUUCCUCGAGUCGUUGAUUUCACACUGCCAAGAAAAGCCUCUAGAUAGAUAACAGGUGCCCGUACCGCAAACCGACACAGGUAGUCAAGAUGAGAAUUCUAAGGUGAGCGAGCGAACUCUCGGUUAAGGAACUCGGCAAAAUGACCCCGUAACUUCGGGAGAAGGGGUGCUCUUUAGGGUUAACGCCCAGAAGAGCCGCAGUGAAUAGGCCCAAGCGACUGUUUAUCAAAAACACAGGUCUCUGCUAAACCGUAAGGUGAUGUAUAGGGGCUGACGCCUGCCCGGUGCUGGAAGGUUAAGAGGAGUAGUUAGCUUCUGCGAAGCUACGAAUCGAAGCCCCAGUAAACGGCGGCCGUAACUAUAACGGUCCUAAGGUAGCGAAAUUCCUUGUCGGGUAAGUUCCGACCCGCACGAACGGCGUAACGAUUUGGGCACUGUCUCAACGAGAGACUCGGUGAAAUCAUAGUACCUGUGAAGAUGCAGGUACCCGCGACAGGACGGAAAGACCCCGUGGAGCUUUACUGUAGCCUGAUAUUGAAAUUCGGCACAGCUUGU